UACGGAGGGUGCAAGCGUUAUCCGGAUUCACUGGGUUUAAAGGGUGCGUAGGUGGGCUGGUAAGUCAGUGGUGAAAUCUCCAGGCUUAACUUGGAAACUGCCAUUGAUACUAUCAGUCUUGAAUACCGUGGAGGUCAGCGGAAUAUGUCAUGUAGCGGUGAAAUGCUUAGAUAUGACAUAGAACACCAAUUGUGAAGGCAGCUGGCUACACGAAUAUUGACACUGAUGCACGAAAGCGUGGGGAUCAAACAGG
rnacentral:rRNA from 1 species